rnacentral:lncRNA from 1 species
UAACACAAAUACUAAAGUAGGAGCGUUUUGAAUAUUGGUGCAAGAGGACUGUCUUUUCUCAAAGUUCCCUUUCAGGUAACUUUGAGACGAGAAAGAAAAACAAGGCAACCCAGGAUGAGGAGCGGAAAAGCAGAACACGGCUGGCCGAUCGUGUGCAGCGUGGGGGACAUUGAACUGAAAACGAUCCGUUUGCCACGGAGUAUCCUGGGGUGCUGCACGGAAACCAGAGCUGUCAUCAGCCGCACUCGAUUUCAGCUGAACAGGAUCGAUACAGAGCACAGCACUGCAGCGGUGACUUCAUGUCUUCAUCCCGCUCUUUUAAGCAGCGACUUUCCUCUACCUUAGGGAAGUUUUUUCUCUUGGGAUUGUUCACAGAUUCAGCAGUGACUGUUGGGUUCCAGACCAUAAAACAUAGUGUUAUACUGAAUCCCACAUCUGGAUGGGAGAGAAAGGAAAGAAAACAGAAAAAAGCUUUUCCAUUUUUUCCAAGCAGUCAUGGAAAACGAAUUCAGUUCUCAAAGUGCAUUUCGAGCUUGUGUUCGUCUACAGGGAGGAGAUGGGGAGGAUCCCCUUGAGUCCAGGAAGCCGCUUGCCAUUGUUUAACAGUGAUGAGCGGCCACAACCCCGCUGGCCCUCACGGAUGAAUCCUGCACGCUGCCACGGAGGACAGGG